AUAGUUUGAACGGUACCUUUACCGAACGAAUUUGAGCCUAUAACAAGUGCUCUUUUAUAAUCUUGUAAAGUACCGGUAACAAUUUCCGAUGCCGAAGCCGAACCUCUGUUGAUUAAUACUACUAUCGGAAUAUUUGCAAAUUCCGGUUUUUUCUGUGUAUAGUAAUAUUGUUCCAUCGUUUUAUCUUUACAUUUUGUGGAUACAACCAAACUGUUUUCUUUAACAAAUAAACUGCAUAUAUUUAUUGCAGAGUCCAAAAGACCUCCGGGAUUAUUUCUUA
rnacentral:ncRNA from 1 species